AACCUCGCCUUGACUUUGGGAUAACUUCAGGAAACUGGGGCUAAUACCGGAUAGGAGCUCCUGCUGCAUGGUGGGGGUUGGAAAGUUUCGGCGGUUGGGGAUGGACUCGCGGCUUAUCAGCUUGUUGGUGGGGUAGUGGCUUACCAAGGCUUUGACGGGUAGCCGGCCUGAGAGGGUGACCGGCCACAUUGGGACUGAGAUACGGCCCAG
rnacentral:rRNA from 1 species